rnacentral:rRNA from 1 species
GAUGAACGCUAGCGGCAGGCUUAACACAUGCAAGUCGAGGGGUAUAUUUCUUCGGAGAUAGAGACCGGCGCACGGGUGCGUAACGCGUAUGCAAUCUACCUUUUACAGAGGGAUAGCCCAGAGAAAUUUGGAUUAAUACCUCAUAGUAUAUAGACCUGGCAUCAGGAUUAUAUUAAAGUCACAACGGUAAAAGAUGAGCAUGCGUCCCAUUAGCUAGUUGGUAAGGUAACGGCUUACCAAGGCUACGAUGGGUAGGGGUCCUGAGAGGGAGAUCCCCCACACUGGUACUGAGACACGGACCAG